GGGAGCAGGGGCUGCAGUGCCCAGGAGCCGCUGGAGCCCCUUGCUUGAGGUCUGUGGAGUCUUCAGCCCAAGGAGCAGAAUUCCUCCUGUUCUGCAAGAGUUGUGAUUGUAUAAACAUGCAGCAGGCUCUGGACAGGCUAUUCAAGAGGAGUGGUUCCACACCAGCAGUGGGAAGCUCUCCAAAUGAUUGCUGGAAGAUAGAAGAUAAUGCUGCACAGAGGCUGUAAAAUGGUGAAAUGGCUCAUCUGAAACAUGUCAGAAGCUGCUGAUGCAGGAUUGGCCCUCAGAGCAUUAAAAUGGAGCCUGGAGGAACCUCUCCCCUUUGCUUGUAGGACCUGCAGUCCAACAGAAUUAUCAAGUAACAGGCUGAACAAAGAAGUUCAUGACACCAUGAAAAUAGGUGCUGCACAUUUUAUACUUGAGCAACACACCUGAAUUCACGUGCCCAGCACAGAGGAACAGUUACUGCUGGACUCAGGAGACAUUUAUCAAAGACAUGACUGCUGAUUUACUACAAAGGGCUGCUGGAUUCCUCUAGGAACUGUCUUUUGACCUGUUGCUAUAAAUUUUGCACUGCAGAAUUGGCAGACUCUAAUAGCUUUUUGUAAGUGAGUUCUGCAAAGAGAAGCCUGACCUCAAAUGACCUAAAUAUUUUAAAGUAAAAAGCUGUGCAGUUGUUUGGGUGAUAGGCUAAAAUGUAGACUUAAAAAGUGUAAUUUCUCAAA